rnacentral:tmRNA from 1 species
GUCCGGAUCUUCCGGACUAGGUGAUCCACACCAGUGUUUCGGACAGCGGUUCGAUUCCGCUCAGCUCCACCA